rnacentral:lncRNA from 1 species
GAGGACUGUAGCCCAUGAGGCAGCAUUUUAGAUAACUCCAAAAAACCGUCCCAAAGAAGUAGAGGGCAGUGUCAGUAUAUAUGAAAAGUGAAUGGGGGUGGUACACGGAACCAAGCACAGAUUUUUUUUUUUUUCCUUUCCUUUUUAGAGCCUUACCUACAGCAUAUGGAAGUUCCCAGGCUAGGGGAUCGGACCUGCAUCCUCAUGGAGACCAUGUCGGUUCUUAACCCACUGAGCAACAAGGAGAACUUCCCAAGCACACAUUUUGCAGAAGGUUGCUGCUAGUCCCGUGAAUGUUACUGCUAGUUAUGAGGAGCAGAUUCCGUCAUGAAGGAUUUUAGUGCUUUUCUAGAUAGGAGGAGAUGCAAGAAUUGGGCUCCUAAAAUUUUCUGAAAAUACCUAACUAUACAAAAGCUUGUUUUUCCAGUUCUCCCAGAGCUCAGACUACCUCACUCCUGAUCGCCACCCUGUGCUCCUUUCAGGGGGUGUCAAGAGUCCACAGCUGCAGUGGCUUUUGAAACAAUCCCUGUAGAGGCAGAUGGCAAGGGCCAAUCUCCAGUUCAUAUUUGUAUGGAUUAUUUAUGAAUAUAGUAUGAUUGUUCACAUUUUAUAUGAAAAACUGAGACACUGGGAGUUUAAGUAAUUUGUUCACUAUCAAGUAGCUAAGAAGCAAAGCAGACAGAGUUGGUACCCAGGCAGUGUAACUCUUAUCCAUGUUGCUGUGCCCAGCAGGGCCAUGUUGUAACUUUUCUCCAAUUUAAAGAUCACUCAAAAAAUUGCAUAUGAAGUCAGGUUUUGAGAGCAAUUCACUCAAGGUAACCCAGUCCUGAAAGCAGAUAACAGCUCCAGUCUUCUAUGUAAAGCAGCCAUCUCUUUGUAUCUGGAAUAAUUAAUUAAAAUAGGUCAUUCUGAUCUAUAAAGCUGUAGAAGAUCUGAAUUCUGAUUGCUUUAGAGAUUAAUUCUCUAGACUUACUGUCAUGAUCAUCAAAGUGCUUAUGCUAAUAUUUCCCAGAUUUGAACUUUGGGAAAUCAAAAGCACCCCCUUUAUUUUCACAUUGUAAAUUUCAGGCACCCUUCUUGAUAAAAUGGUAUUUAGGUCAAACCUCUCAUAUUCAGGCAGAUUUUUUGUAUAUGAAAUAAGGAAGGAAAUUAAGAAGAAAAAAGAAAGACCUCAAUUUAUCUUAAUCUUGUGCUGUAUGAGCCUGUGUUAUACUAGAUGAAAAAUGCAUGUAUAUACAUAACAAAUGGAAAUUGCUCUUUGACUAGAAUCUCAAUUCAAGGUGUUAUUGCAAAGAGUGAGUGUAGCUAAGAGUUCCAUUUUUCUCCCCAGAAUAAUGAAACAAGUACGUAGUUUUCUUCUCUCUUUUUUUCUUUCCUUUUAUUUUCAUGUUUAUUCUCUUCUCUCGUUCCUUUUUAGUUUAUUUUUUUCUCAGUAAAAUAUACUUAACCAGAGGUCAUGCUUGCUUUAGAUAAAAUAAAUACUUUUACUUUUUUGGUAGUCGUCCCCUUCAGAAUCAAACAAAAGUUAAGUGGAAAAAAAGCCCUGGUUUUCUCUCACUUAGAUGCUGUGCCUAGAUUCAACAUUUUGAUUUGACUGAAUGAGAAAUGAUGUAAUCUACAGAAGAAUAAUAUUAACAUAAAAACACAAUAGAACUUGUCACAAAAUGCAUGACAAACAUUAUUGCAUGUAGUCUAGAGCUUUAAUUAACAUAUUUGUUAAAUGCCAGUUCUUCAAAUAGACGCUAUCAACAAAGAAAAGACUUUCCUUAACACAGAUAGUGCUGAUAGCUCCUUUUCCUUUAAAAGAGAUUUUGACAGUUAUACUAUUGAGCUCUGUAAUUCUGCUGGAAACCAACUCCCAUCCUUCUGCCACCCAAGCUUUCAAAAUCAGAAUGGUGGAGAAAGUCAGUAGCUUUUACUGCUAUUCAAUUUAUUCCAAGGCAGGAGUUGUAAAUGGUUGUAUAUACAGGCUUGGGAAUUUGCAUACUGAAUGCCUCCUCUCAGUUUUGAUAUGCCUACCUCUGUCCCUGUCAUUUAAUUUGCAUUUAUUCACCAAUCGAGUUUGCUUCCGGAAUGCCUCCCUUGCAUGAAUGGGUAGCAGAGUAAUUACAGCUAAGUAAAGUGGUUUUAUGAAUGAAGGCACAAUUUACAGCAAUGAGUGUAGGUAUCACCUCCCCUGCUCUUGUUUAAUAUUCAGACCUGUCACCUUGCACACAAGCUGUUGGAAAAGGCUCCAGAAGCCACAGUUAUACCUCUAACAAAUCACAUCAGAUUAUAUUACUCUGAAGGACUUUCUUGGGGUUGAGCAAAAAAGAGUUUUAGUAAGAAGGCCAAGACAAAAAACCUUGACUCAUUAUUGCUUAUAAAGAACAAAGAGUUUGGUAACUGACAGGUAGAAUGAAGAGAGAUGGUUUAAACAGAAAAAAACUUACAUUUUAUUUUUGGAGAAGAGUGCAUUUUAUUCCAAGUAUUCGCUAUAGGGUUCUCUAUUUAGAAAACCCACGGUCCAGCUCUUAAGCACAAAGAGAAAAUUUAGUACGAAAAUCUUUGGAAACAGUACUAAAAUAAAGCUUGAGAGUUUUCAAGUGACAUCAAGUGGGCAUUUUUGAAAAUGUUGCAGAAUAUAUUCGUAAUUAAGUUGAUCAAUUAGGACCUGACUUUUGUUCCCCAGACAUCUGCAAUUUUUUCCUUGAUUAGCUCACUCUCCAUUCCCUUGAGCCAUUCUCAACCCAUUUCUCAACUGGGGGUGAUUUUAUCCCCAGAGCACAUUUGGCAAUGUCUGGAGACCUUUUUAGUUGUCACAGCUGGACAGGAAAAGUGCUACUGGCAUGGAGUUUGAAAGGCCAGGGAUACUGCUAAAUAUUCUGCAAUGUUUGUGACCACUUCCUGCGACAAAGAACUAUCUAGUCUGAAAUGUCUGUAAAGUUUGAGAAACCCAGCCUUAAUCCCUAUUUUACAAGACCCCUCCCUGCCCAAUUCCAUCAUUGUGCUUUCUUAAGAAAAUCAUGCUAUUUGCUCUUAUUUCACAGAAAAAAUAAAGGUUAGCAACCAUGCCUCCCUUAACAUCUGUCCAUUCACAAACUUAUUUGCACUUUUAAGUCAUUUCAUUUAAGCACUUACCCUUAUUCCCCCAGCCAUGAAAAAGAGCAGCCCAUUAUGCUUUCCAAGGCUAAUUGGUUCAUCUGCGUUUUAGAUUUCAUCCCUCCUAGGUAUUUCACCACUCUUUUCUUUACCUUUCUUUUAUCCCCAAUCUUUCAUUCUCCAUCAGUUCAAGACACUAAUUAAAUAUAAAUUCCCUUUUUUGACUUUAGCUUUCCCCUUUUCUUUCAUACAGAAGUUUUCCAAGAAUAUUUUACAAUAGCUGUGUCUUUUUCCUCAAAUCUGUAUUCCAUUAGUCCAUUGCAUUAUUUUUCAGCAACUAGUCCUAGUUUAAUUGUUUAUAUCAGUUAGUUAUUGCUAUGUAACAAGCCACCCCAGAAUUCAAUGGCUUAAAUAAUGUGCUUAUUAAUAUUCACAAAUCUUUGGAACAUCUGGGUGAUUAUUCUAGUCUUAUCUGGGUUCAUGAAUGUAUUCAUAGUCAGUUUAGUCAGUUGUGUGUCUGGUAUGUAGGAUACCAAAAGAAUAAGUGGAAGUGGAGGCCUUUUCAAGCCUAGGGUUAGAACUGGCACAGCACUGCUUCUAAUACAAGACCAGCCAAAUUCAGGAGUCCAUGUCUCGAUGGGAGGAGGUGAAAGACAUGUUGCAAAGGGUGCUGAUACAGUAAGGAGCAGAGGAUCACAUCCUUUUUGCAAGCAACCUCCCAAUUGUAAAAUUACUGAUGAUCGCAUAUUCAAAAUCAGCUCUAGGAGUUCUAGUUGUGGCACAGCAGAAACAAAUCUGACUAGUAUCCAUGAGGAUGAGGAUUUGAUCUCCAGCCUCGCUCAGCGGGUUGGGGAUCCUGCAUUGCCGUGAGCUGUGGUGUAGGCUGACAGCUGUAGCUUUGAUUCUACCCUCUAGCCAGGAAACAUCCAUGUGCCAUGGGUGCAGCCCUCAAAAGCCAAAAUUAAUUAAUUAAUUAAUUUUAAAAACAAACAAAAAUCCCCAAAUCAACUCUAAUUACAUUCUUCAUUUUCCUUGAUUUUGUGGCAGCCUUUGACACAAAAGAAUAUUCCUUCUUUCUGGAAACUUCACCCUUAUGUCUUCCACAGCUCCACUGACUUUCAUUGUCCUCUGACUCUGAUCACACUUGGUAAUCCUUGAUUAUCUCUCUCAUAACUGGUAAAGACUGUUGGUGCCAGGGAUUCUCUUCUUAGCCCUCUUUUUAGUCUAUAAACUCUUAUUAGGCAAUCUUAACCCAACUGUGUUUUUAUUUGUCAUCUGUAUUUGACACCCAAGUCUAAAUUUCUGGCAUGGCACAUUUUCAUUAGUUGUAGACUUGUAUUUCUACUUGUAUAUUAGCAAUCUUUACCUGAAGACUGGUUUUAUUAUUAGUCUUCCAGUACUUGGUCACAACUCAAACAAAAUUUUAUUCAGUGCUUAUUCUGUGCACUUUAGAGUCUCUUAUACGCCCUUCAUCAAUGAGACAGAAACUUACUAUGUUCUUUUGGCCCUUAUUUCCUGUCCAAGCUCUUCAUCUACCUCCCAAAUUAAUAGCUUUGUACUUUAGCUCCAAAUUAUUAUUUUAAAAUUACUAAUAUUUACAUUUAACUAUUGAGCUAUACAAAUCCUUUAGCAAUUUUGGGGGUAAUUUUUGUAUGAUUUGCUUUUUUUGAAUAAUAAUUUGACUGGAUGUGAAAUUCUAUAUUCUUUAGAACAUUGGCAAUAUCAAUUCAAUGUUAUUUUGUAAAUGAGGAAUCUAAUUAAGGUUAUCAGAUUUAUCUAAUAAAUAUAUUGGGCAUGCAGUGAAAUGUGAAUUGCAGAUAAACAACAAAUACUUUUUUAAAGUAAAAGUAUGUCCCAUGCAGUAUGCAUUGUGAGAUAUACUUGUAUUAAAACCCCAUUUAUUGUUUAUCUGAAAUUUAUAAAUUAACUGGGCAUCUUAUAUUUUAUUAGGCAUUUCUAAAUCUAAUGUAAUUUGAUUAUUCUUUUUCUCUUUCUCUAGAAGAUUUUAGGAAGUGUAUAUCUAUAAAAAUUUUAAGAAAUGUGUUUUUUAUUCUUGGGAUUCUAAAAUGUCACCACAGUCACAAUGUGUCUGAUUAUGGAUAUGUUUAUUUGCAUUCUCUUCAGGACUCAGUAGCUUUUUUUUUUGUUUUCAUUUGUAUUUUAGGGCUGCGUCCACAGCAUACGGAAGUUCCUAGGCUGGGGUGGAACUGGAGCUGCAUCUGUUGGCCUAUGCUAUAGCCACAGCAACACCAGAUCCGAGCUGCUUCUACCUAAGCCACAACUCAUGGCAACGCCAGAUCCUUAACCCACUGAGCAAGGCCAGGGAUCGAACCUGCGUCUUCAUGGAUAUUAGGUUCAUUACUGCUGAGCCAUGACAGGAACUCCCCUCUUUUUAAUUUAAGUAUUCUAUUUGUCUUCAUUUCUGAGAUUGAAAAAAUUUUCUUGAUCUGGCAAUUUCUUCCCUAUAAUUUUCUCUGUUCUUUCUAGAGCUCCUGUUAGACAGAUGUCGAGCCAUGGCACGUAAUUGUCCUUUCAUACAUUCCAUCUCUGUUUGCAAUGAUUUCUGGAAGAACUUAUUGGCUUAGUAUCUUCAUUUAUGGAUUUAGUCUUUAGCUAUGUGUAUUCUAGUAUUUGCCCAAUCAUUAAAAACCUGCUUUCUUGGACUGGUGCUUCCUUAUGCCUCUUGAAGAUAAUAGCCCUUAUAUAAUGAUCUCUUUGAUUUUGGCACCUAUACCCUUUCAUUAAUUUGUUUGUAGCUGCUUAGUAGUUCAUGGUGUAAACUGACUGUAGAAGGGGAAGGGAUGAUGUACCUCCUAGUGGUUCCUGUACUACCCUACUGUUGUGGGCUGAACUGUGUUCCUCCAAGUUCAUAUGUUGAAGUCCCAUCUCCUAGUACCUUAGAUUGUGACUAUACUUGAACAGGGGCCUUUUGGAGAAGUACUUAGUGUUAAAUAAAGUCAUUAUGGUAGGCCCUAAUCUGUUAUGACUGGUGUCCUUAUAAGAAGAGGGAGAGAAACCAAGGAUGCGCACUCAAAGAAAAGGCCGUAUGAGGACAACAGUGAAAAGGCCACCAUCUAUAAGCCGAGAGAGAUGUUUCAGAAGAACUAAACCUGCAGACACCUUGAUCUUGGUUCCUUGCCUCUAGAAUUGUAAGAAACUACAUUUUUGUUGUUUUACAUUACGGCAAUCCUAGCAAAUUUGUAAAUUUACCUAUAAAGCAUGGUCUCUUGGAGUUCCUUUUGUGGCUCAGUGAUUACAAAUCCAACUAGUAUCCGUGAUGUUGCAGGUUCGAUUCCUAGCCCCACUCAUUGGGUUAAGGAUCUGGCGUUGCCGUGAGCUGCGAUGUAGGUCACAGACGGAGCUCCAAUCUGGCAUUGGCUGUGGCUGGUAGCUGCAGCUGUGAUUUGACCCCUAGCUUGGGAACUUCGAUAUGCCACAGAUGUGGCCCUAAAAAGAAAAAAAAAA